rnacentral:ncRNA from 1 species
AUGGAGAUGGGGGCGGGACCAGCCAGGAUAGUAGGGGCUAGACUCAGGGACAGUGAUUCCAGACAGUAUGGGGACCCCACACAGCUCUUCCAGCAUCCCACAGCUCCUGCAGCUCUGUUGAUGCCUCUCAGUCCUGACCUGCAGCCCCUUGGCGAUGAGACUGAACCAUGCCUGGGCAGGGCAAAGCCAGAGGACACUCGAGUCAGUCGUCCAUCCUGGGCAUAGGGGCACAGACCCAGCAACCCAUCUAGUAGCUGGCUCCCGCAGGGAGCUGGUGCUCGUCUGUAUCAGCAGUUUUAUCUGACACAGCGAAUGACUGCAGGUUGUGGGGCUGAAACGAUCUCAAGUUGUUCUCAGGCUGUCCAUGGGUGAGGUGCUCGGCUCGCUUUCAUGGAGCCGGGCAUGGGACAGGAGUGCCUAGUGCUCGCUUUCGGUAAGCAGAUCUGGUGCUGUGAGAUGAGCCGAACGCUGGGUUUAGGCGCCUGAUGCCGAUGCUCAUCAGAGCCCAGGAAAGGUGCUGGUUGAUACAGACAGCAGGACGGUGGCCAUGGAAGUGGGAAUCCAAGGAGCAUGUAACAACUCACCUGCCUGGAAAAUGGAGAUGCUGGAGGGUUGGGCCCAUCCCCAGACACUGACAGCGAUGAGAGCUGAGGGAUCUACGCUGUGACAAGCAGGAGGGCUGCUGAGGUAUGGGCUCAGGGGGAGCUGCGGUAGGUGCAGAGCUUGGUGGCAGUAGCAAAUAUUCAAACAAGAACUUUGAAGACCGGAGUGGAGAAGGGUGAAUAGGGUCGGUUGGUCCAAAGGGCUGGGCAAGAGCCAUUCCGAAGAGAUAGGCAAGUGCCGUUCUGAAGAGACAGCCGAUUGAAAGGGAGUCGGGUGCAGAUUCCCGAAUCUGGAGUGUCAGAGAUGGGUGCCAUGAGGCACCCAGUGCAGUAAUGCAACUGAUCCCGGAGAAGCUGGCGGGAGCCCCAGUAAGAGUUCUCUUUUCUUUGUGAAGGGCAGGGCACCCUUGAAUGGGUUCGCCCCAAGAAAGGGGCCCGAGCCUUGGAAAGCAUCAUGGUUCCAGCAGCAUCCGGUGAGGUCUCACUGAGCCUUGAAAAUCCGGGGGAGAUGGUGUAAAUCUCGCAUUGGCUGUACCCAUCUCCGUAGAAUCAUAGAAUAUCAGGGUUGGAAGGGACCUCAGGAGGUCAUCUAGUCCAAUCCCCUGCUCAAACCAGGACCAAUCCCCAACUAAAUCAUCUCAGCCAGGGCUUUGUCAAGCCUGACCUUAAAAACCUGUAAGGAAGGAGAUUCCACCACCACCCUAGGUAACCCAUUCCAGUGCUUCACCACCCUCAUAGUGAAAAAGUUUUUCCUAACAUGUAACCUACAUCUCCCCCACUGUGACUUGAGACCAUUACUCCUUGUUCUGUCAUCUGCUACCUCUCAGAACAGUCUAGAUCCACCCUCUUUGGAACCCCCCUUCAGGUAGUUGAAAGCAGCUAUCAAAUCCCCGCUCAUUCUUCUCUUCCGUAGACUAAACAUCCCCAGUUCCCUCAGCCUCUCCUCAUACGUCAUGUGCUCCAGCCUCCUAAUCAUUUUUGUUCCCUCCACUGGACACUUUCCAAUUUUUCCACAUCCUUCUUGUAGUGUGGGGCCCAAAACUGGACACAGGACCCAGAUGAGGCCUCAUCAAUGUCAAAUAGAGGGGAACGAGCAAGUCCCUCGAUCUGCUGGCACUGCCCCUAUUUAUGCUGCCCAAAAUGCCGUUAGCCUUCUUGGCAACAAGGGCACACUGUUGACUCAUAGCACAUACUUGACCUCCACAGCAGGUCUCCAAGGUAACAGCCUUUGGUA